AACGAACGCUGGCGGCAUGCCUAACACAUGCAAGUCGAACGAGACCUUCGGGUCUAGUGGCGCACGGGUGCGUAACGCGUGGGAACCUGCCCUUAGGUUCGGAAUGACUCCCCGAAAGGGGUGCUAAUACCGGAUAAUGUCUUCGGACCAAAGAUUUAUCGCCUUUGGAUGGGCCCGCGUUGGAUUAGCUAGUUGGUAGGGUAAAAGCCUACCAAGGCGACGAUCCAUAGCUGGUCUGAGAGGAUGAUCAGCCACACUGGGACUGAGACACGGCCCAGACUCCUACGGGAGGCAGCAGUGGGGAAUAUUGGACAAUGGGCGAAAGCAUGAUCCAGCAAUGCCGGGUGAGUGAUGAAGGCCUUAGGGUUGUAAAGCUCUUUUACCCGGGAUGAUAAUGACAGUACCGGGAGAAUAAGCCCCGGCUAACUCCGUG
rnacentral:rRNA from 1 species